rnacentral:lncRNA from 1 species
GGAACGAGAAACGAAGGGAGAGAACUGAUUUGGUUACUGUUUCGCAGGAGUUUCGAAAAAGGCUCAGACAACGUCGGAAAAUGGAUAACAGCCCAAUUUUAAGGAAAUAAUGAUGUUUUCCAGCGAGAAACUCACCGGAAUUAUUAUCUUGACUUUUUCCUUCUCUCUCUCGAUUCUAUCUCUCUCUCUCUUCGUUACUCUCGCAAUAGAAAUAACGUGGGUGUUUUUGGUGCGAGGUCUGUUAGAGAAGUGUGCGUUGUGGAGAUGAAGAGUCGUACCUGGGUCGAGUAUGGUGAAUGGAAAAAUGUUAGUGAGGGGUGUGAGAGUAUGAAUGGAGAAGAUGAUUAGAGGCCCCCCCCC